rnacentral:lncRNA from 1 species
UGGACAGGUGUUAAGAUGAUACCAUCAACUCCGUAUGCCUAAAAAUUGACGAGAGCCUGAUUCCACCGCGUAGUGCCACAAUUAUAUUUUAUUGCACAGUACACGGUGGCCGCCUCAGUAGUUCAUGUUGUUUUUGUUGAGCCCCGGUACCCAAUUCCAGCUGGUUACUCCAAAGAUCAAAUUGUGUGCCCGUGGUUAAUAAUUUCUUUUUAUAUAUCAUACACACACACACUUGUUUGAGUGUGUGUAUUUGAGUACACACAAACUUAUAUAUAUAUAUAUGAGCUCACAAUGACCACCGUAUAAUAUAAUGUAUAUUUGUUCACCUGUAUGCCUGUAAGGGAAUAUGAUGAAACUUUUGUCGCUUGUGUGCCCGCGGUAAUAUUAUAAUAUAGGUCUAAGUAUUGGACACCAGUGGCUGGAAAGUAGUGUCUGUGAACCUUUGUUCAUUGGUGUCUAGUCAAAGUGGUACAUGUAGUGUAAGUUUGUCGUAUUGCGCAUGGUGUGACUGGGUUUGUUUGUUUGGGGGUUUUUUUAGUGUGUCAUUUCUUCCAAUUCAUGAGUGGGAUUUGUUGUUUCAGCCAGGGAUGACGUUUCUGGAUAAAGUUCUAGAAUAAUUUUCUGGAAGUGGAUCAGCUUGAUUUUUUUACAUCUUGUAUGACAGUUUUUAUCCCCCCCCCAAUGGGUGUGACAUUGUGGACAUUUCCUUUUGCGAAGAAUUCAGACUCAUGAGAGUGGAAGUAUUACAAGAUCGAGAUCCAUUUACCAUCAAUCCAGAUAAAGUCAGUUUUCCUAGUUUUGUUUAUAGCAUCAUGUUUUUUCCAUCUUGAACUGUUCUCAGACAGUAAAAAUUGUUAUAUAUAUAAAUACAUAUUUCUUGCCAAUGUGUUUCUGUGAAAUUGAAAUAACUUCAUACUACACAAAUUUCCCUGUGUAUAAUGAGGACAGUGUAGUGUCAAUGUCAAUGAUUUUCUUCAGAAGACCGGAGCCUUUUUCCUUUUGCAGAAAAGACUGAAGUGCACUCUAUUGUUUUAAAAAAAAGGGAGGGGGGGGGGGAGGGGCUGUAAAGGUGAUGUAAAGGCCCCAAUGCUGAGUGCUUCUACUUGUACCGUAAAGUUUGGGACUGUAAAGUUUGGGUUAGAAGCCGCGACUUCUUUCCUCAGCCUCAACAAACACUGAGGCUUAAACAACGAUGCAGCUUAUUUGCAGACUUUCUCAUUUGCAGGAGUGUUGCUCCCUCAUUUAUUCUUAGCAUACACCUAAAACAUUAAAAAGUUGACAUAUUUUCCUCAACUCAGCUCCACACUUUAGCGUAUGCCUAAGAAACACGGUCCAACCAACAGACAUUCGGUAUUGUAUAAUCUGCUGCGGCUUAUAUGGUCACUUUUAAGGACAAGCGGGCUAACCAUGAUUUUGGGGGCUUCCAGAAAUCUUGACCUUUACCAAAACUGGGCAUUGCCCUGGGGCUAUAGGAAAAGUCUGGUUUCAUUGGUGUGUAUAUUUGUUUGGUUUUAGAGAAAACUCGCUUUGUCUUUAAAGUAAAGAAAGGGAACAAGGGUCCAAAAACUUUACCUUCGAUUUUUUAAAAACAGAAUUUUUUGGGAUAGCCCCGUUGUGAAAAGCGACCAUAUAACCCAGUGCGGCGCAUUAUGAAAAAAGUUCAAAUUUUUUACAAAUUUUAGUGGAUGUUGCUUAUUUAAAACAGGUGCGCUCAAUAGCCUGAGCUUUACCGAAGUUAAUGGGAGUUCUGGUAUGUUCGGGGGUGUGAGGACUCCCAGUAAAUUGUUUGUGGUGGGGAUGGCUUAAGUGUGGGCCGUCAUAAGGUUAAAGUAAAGGCAAAUUGGAAGAACAUGUAGUUCAACUUAAGGUGGUGCUAAAACAGUCUCCGUCUUCUCUACCGUCUCUCUUUCCUUAUCUUUAUCUUUAUCUUCUCUGACCACCCCCCCCCCCUUACACAGAUGAAUUUAUGCUUAUCUUUAAUUAUUUUGGCGAUAGGACUGAUGAGGUGGAAAGUGGAGUGAGUUACAUUAUCAAACACUUCCUCUAUCUUUUUUGUCUCAGCAGACUUUGUGACAUCUUUUGUCCGUCUCUUUGGCUCAUACAAGAAAAAGAAAAUAAGUUUUGUGAUGUUUGGUCUAAAUUUGCAGUGCUCGUGUCUUCAACUCAUUGAUUACGACUGACACUUUUUACAUAAAAUGGGGGGGAACGGAGAUGGAAAAAAAAAGGAUGUGGUCCAUCGCCGCAACUGAUGACACUUUCAACUGGCCUAGCACAAAGUCCCUUGUGGAUUGUUUUAUAUAACAUGCCUGUCUACUGCUAUGCAUAUAUAACAAUGUUUAGUACAAAUAUAUUUAUAAGUAGUCUUUGUGAGAAUAGAUUUUGGUAAAAUUCAAUUUGAGCCCCCCUUGAGAGUUCUUCAAAGUAGUCAAAAGUGUCUUUUGCACAUGUCACAGCGACCCACAAUUGGCCCCCCCCCCUCCCCCGAGAUGGAGACCACCUUGAAUUGAUGUGAGAAGUAGUAAGUAGGUCAGGUCAGUUCAGAAUGGUGGGCUCAAGUAGACUUUUACCCUGAUCUUUAUGUGUACAAAGUGAGUUUGUGUGGAACAGUUUUGUUGUUGUGAUACAUACUUGCCCUUGGGGCUUCCGAAUAUUUUGGAACCUUCUUCUUCGUUGGUUCGUGUUGUAAAAUUUCAAAAUAUUAAAAAAGUGUUUGUAGACAAAUGAUGAAUUAGUAUGCACACGCACACACAUUCCUCGGAAAUGCAGGUGGUUGGGUGAAGGCUUCUGGUGUGGUUUUUGCUGCUUCCACUUUUUUCACCAAAUUUGUAGCAACCCGACAAAAUGAGUCGCAUUGUCACGUUCUAACAGUAUCAUCAUACUGUGGGUAUAAACUGAGGUGAAAAUAGUACGAGUCUCAUCCAGUCUCGCUGCUUUGGAUCCACAGUACACAUAUUUGGG